rnacentral:rRNA from 1 species
UACGUAGGGGGCGAGCGUUGUCCGGAAUCAUUGGGCGUAAAGCGCGUGUAGGCUGCUCUGCAAGUCGGAUGUGAAAGCCCUGGGCUCAACCUAGGAAGUGCACUCGAAACUGCAGAGCUUGAGUCUCGGAGAGGAUCGCGGAAUUCUCGGUGUAGAGGUGAAAUUCGUAGAUAUCGAGAGGAACACCGGUGGCGAAGGCGGCGAUCUGGACGAUGACUGACGCUGAGACGCGAAAGCGUGGGGAGCAAACAGG